rnacentral:rRNA from 1 species
AAGCCGGAAUUGCUAGUAAUGGCAGGUCAGCAUACUGCCGUGAAUACGUUCCCGGGCCUUGUACACACCGCCCGUCACACCAUGAGAGUUGGGGAUACCCGAAGCCUGUGAGCCAACAGUUAAAUGGGGCAGCAGUCGAAGGUAGAAUCAAUGAUUGGGGUGAAGUCGUAACAAGGUACC